rnacentral:lncRNA from 1 species
CCUGGUGGUGCACGUCCCCAACCUUAUGUGGAUUUCCUAAAUUCUGCAAAAAAGGUUUGGAAGCUGAUCAAUCAAUACUGGAACUCCCUCUUCUCCAGAAGAGACAUCCUGGCCUCCAUGCAGAGGAAUGUGUGGAUGGACAUAUAUUUAAGGAAGACACUAAACCAGAAAAUACUACAUUACACCCUCUUAGAAGUCUUCUAAGAUUGUUGUCAUGCCUACCACAGACAUUCAGAUGAUGUGUAUUGCUGAUUGUGAUUUCAUGUUUGGACCUGAUGAAGGAGUUUGAAGUCUCCAGAGCAGCAAAGAGAGUGGGGAGUAGAACUCAUCAUCUUUAGGUCACUCAUCAUCG